rnacentral:rRNA from 1 species
GACGAACGCUGGCGGCGUGCUUAACACAUGCAAGUCGAACGGAAAGGCCCUGCUUUUGUGGGGUGCUCGAGGGGCGAACGGGUGAGUAACACGUGAGUAACCUGCCCUAGACUUUGGGAUAACUUCAGGAAACUGGGGCUAAUACCGGAUAGGAGCUCCUGCUGCAUGGUGGGGGGUGGAAAGUUUCGGCGGUUGGGGAUGGACUCGCGGCUUAUCAGCUUGUUGGUGGGGUAGUGGCUUACCAAGGCUUUGACGGGUAGCCGGCCUGAGAGGGUGACCGGCCACAUUGGGACUGCGAUACGGCCCAGACUCCUACGGGAGGCAGCAGUGGGGAAUAUUGCACAAUGGGCGGAAGCCUGAUGCAGCAACGCCGCGUGCGGGAUGACGGCCUUCGGGUUGUAAACCGCUUUCGCCUGUGACGAAGCGUGAGUGACGGUAAUGGGUAAAGAAGCACCGGCUAACUACGUG